GAUGAACGCUGGCGGCGUGCCUAAUACAUGCAAGUCGAGCGGAGAAUUUAGCAAUAGAUUCUUAGCGGCGAACGGGUGAGUAACGCGUUGGUGACCUGCCUCGAAGUUUGGGAUAACAGUUCGAAAGGACUGCUAAUACCGGAUGUGAUCGCGGAGAUUAGAGGCUCUGUGAUUAAAAGGAGAAAUUCGCUUCGAGAGGGGCCUGCGUCCAUCAGCUAGUUGGUAAGGUAAAGGCUUACCAAGGCGAUGACGGGUAGGGGACCUGAGAGGGUGGCCCCCACAAUGGAACGUGAAACAACGGUCCAUACACCUACGGGUGGCAGCAGUAGGGAAGUAUUGCAUAAUAGGGCGGAAAGACCUGAUGCAGCAACG
rnacentral:rRNA from 1 species